rnacentral:rRNA from 1 species
GGGUUGUGAGGUUAAGCGACUAAGCGUACACGGUGGAUGCCCUGGCAGUCAGAGGCGAUGAAGGACGUGCUAAUCUGCGAUAAGCGUCGGUAAGGUGAUAUGAACCGUUAUAACCGGCGAUUUCCGAAUGGGGAAACCCAGUGUGUUUCGACACACUAUCAUUAACUGAAUCCAUAGGUUAAUGAGGCGAACCGGGGGAACUGAAACAUCUAAGUACCCCGAGGAAAAGAAAUCAACCGAGAUUCCCCCAGUAGCGGCGAGCGAACGGGGAGCAGCCCAGAGCCUGAAUCAGUGUGUGUGUUAGUGGAAGCGUCUGGAAAGGCGCGCGAUACAGGGUGACAGCCCCGUACACAAAAAUGCACAUGCUGUGAGCUCGAUGAGUAGGGCGGGACACGUGGUAUCCUGUCUGAAUAUGGGGGGACCAUCCUCCAAGGCUAAAUACUCCUGACUGACCGAUAGUGAACCAGUACCGUGAGGGAAAGGCGAAAAGAACCCCGGCGAGGGGAGUGAAAAAGAACCUGAAACCGUGUACGUACAAGCAGUGGGAGCACGCUUAGGCGUGUGACUGCGUACCUUUUGUAUAAUGGGUCAGCGACUUAUAUUCUGUAGCAAGGUUAACCAAAUAGGGGAGCCGAAGGGAAACCGAGUCUUAACUGGGCGUUAAGUUGCAGGGUAUAGACCCGAAACCCGGUGAUCUAGCCAUGGG